AUUAGGCAAAUCCGGUACUCGUUAAGGCUGAGCUGUGAUGGGGAGAAGACAUUGUGUCUUCGAGUCGUUGAUUUCACACUGCCGAGAAAAGCCUCUAGAUAGAAAAUAGGUGCCCGUACCGCAAACCGACACAGGUAGUCAAGAUGAGAAUUCUAAGGUGAGCGAGCGAACUCUCGUUAAGGAACUCGGCAAAAUGACCCCGUAACUUCGGGAGAAGGGGUGCUCUUUAGGGUUAACGCCCAGAAGAGCCGCAGUGAAUAGGCCCAAGCGACUGUUUAUCAAAAACACAGGUCUCUGCUAAACCGUAAGGUGAUGUAUAGGGGCUGACGCCUGCCCGGUGCUGGAAGGUUAAGAGGAGUGGUUAGCUUCUGCGAAGCUACGAAUCGAAGCCCCAGUAAACGGCGGCCGUAACUAUAACGGUCCUAAGGUAGCGAAAUUCCUUGUCGGGUAAGUUCCGACCCGCACGAAAGGCGUAACGAUUUGGGCACUGUCUCAACGAGAGACUCGGUGAAAUCAUAGUACCUGUGAAGAUGCAGGUUACCCGCGACAGGACGGAAAGACCCCGUGGAGCUUUACUGUAGCCUGAUAUUGAAAUUCGGCACAGCUUGUACAGGAUAGGUAGGAGCCUUUGAAACGUGAGCGCUAGCUUACGUGGAGGCGCUGGUGGGAUACUACCCUAGCUGUGUUGGCUUUCUAACCCGCACCACUUAUCGUGGUGGGAGACAGUGUCAGGCGGGCAGUUUGACUGGGGCGGUCGC
rnacentral:rRNA from 1 species